rnacentral:rRNA from 1 species
GACGAACGCUGGCGGCGUGCUUAACACAUGCAAGUCGAACGGUAAGGCCCUUCGGGGUACACGAGUGGCGAACGGGUGAGUAACACGUGGGUGAUCUGCCCUGCACUUCGGGAUAAGCCUGGGAAACUGGGUCUAAUACCGGAUAGGACCACUGCCUGCAUGGGUGGUGGUGGAAAGCUUUUGCGGUGUGGGAUGGGCCCGCGGCCUAUCAGCUUGUUGGUGGGGUGAUGGCCUACCAAGGCGACGACGGGUAACCGGCCUGAGAGGGUGACCGGACACAGUGGGAGUGAGGUAGGGCCCAGAAUCCUACGGGAGGCAGCAGUGGGGAAUAUUGCACAAUGGGCGCAAGCCUGAUGCAGCGACGCCGCGUGAGGGAUGACGGCCUUCGGGUUGUAAACCUCUUUCAGCACCGACGAAGCGCAAGUGACGGUAGGUGCAGAAGAAGGACCGGCCAACUACGUGCCAGCAGCCGCCGUAA